CAAUCGCGUGAGGGUUUAUACAGAGUUUUGCUUGAAAGGUUUCGGGAUUUGAAGGUGAGUCACACCAAUCUCAACGACCAGUUUCAAGUGUUAUUGCAGGAGACUAGGGAAGAACAGGGGAGAAGGAAGAGAGGGGAAAGGUCUUCAUCAUCAUCUUCAUCGGAUUCCACCGGAUGGAGUCGUUUUUUGCCAAGUUCUUUCUUGUCGAGGACUCCUUACAGGAACGUGUUGGAAUCCAUGGGACAUGCUGUUUAUGUGGGAAGAGGAGAGGGAGAAGG